rnacentral:rRNA from 1 species
CCUACGGGGCGCUGCAGUGAGGAAUAUUGGUCAAUGGACGCAAGUCUGAACCAACCAUGCCGCGUGCAGGAAGACGGCUCUAUGAGUUGUAAACUGCUUUUGUACGAGAGUAAACGCAGAUACGCGUAUCUGUCUGCACGUAUCGUACGAAUAAGGAUCGGCUAACUCCGUGCCAGCAGCCGCGGUAAUACGGAGGAUUCAAGCGUUAUCCGGAUUUAUUGGGUUUAAAGGGUGCGUAGGCGGUCGGGUAAGUUAGAGGUGAAGUCCCGAGGCUCAACUUCGGAAUUGCCUUGGAUACUGUUGGGCUAGAGAGUAGUUGCGGUAGGCGGAAUGUAUGGUGUAGCGGUGAAAUGCUUAGAGAUCAGACAGAACACCGAUUGCGAAGGCAGCUUACCAAGCUACUGCUGACGUUGAGGCACGAAAGCGUGGGGAGCAAACAGGAUUAGAUACCCGUGUAGUC